rnacentral:rRNA from 1 species
AGCCAGGAGGUUGGCUUAGAAGCAGCCAUCCUUUAAAGAGUGCGUAAUAGCCCACUGGUCAAGGGGCCCCGCACGGAAAAUAAACGGGGCUAAGCAUAUCACCGAGACUGCGGGAUCUAUUUAUAGAUCGGUAGGAGAGUGUCGUUAAAGCAUUGAAGCUAAGCUGUAAGGCUUGGUGGAGUUUUAACAAGUAAGAAUGUUGGCAUGAGUAGCAAAAAUGCCGGUGAGAAUCCGGCAGGCCGUAAGUCUAAGGAUUCCUACGCAACGUUGAUCGGCGUAGGGUUAGUCGGUCCUAAGGCGUAUCCGAAAGGAAAAGUCGAUGGACAGCUGGUGAAUAUUCCAGCACCUAUAAUUAAUUGUUUGAGUCAAAGGGGUGACGCAGAAAGAUAAACAGAGCAUACGUAUUGGACAUCGUGUGUUUUUGCCUGUAGAUGAGUAGAGAAGGUUAAAAUAUUUUCUACGUUUGAAUUGAGGGGUGAGAAAACUAUGAGGUUCGCCUCGUAGAAUUCUGUCGACUCUAAACUGCCAAGAAAAGCCUCGUUGAUUAGAUUUUUCAUAGACCGUACCGCAAACCAACACAGGUAGACAGGGAUAAACGUCCCAAGGCCAUCGAGAGAACCAUCGUUAAGGAACUCGGCAAAUUGACCCCGUAACUUAGGGAGAAGGGGGACCUUUUGUGUAUAUGAGUUUACCUCAAAAAGCAUGGAAGGUAGCAUAAAAUAGGCUGAAGCGACUGUUUACCAAAAACACAGGUCCAUGCCAAAGCGAAAGCUGAUGUAUAUGGGCUGACGCCUGCCCAGUGCCGGUAGGUUAAGGAAAGUUGUGCAAGCAACUGACUGAAGCCCCGGUGAACGGCGGCCGUAACUAUAACGGUCCUAAGGUAGCGAAGUCCCUUGUCGGGUAAGUUCCGACCCGCACGAAUGGCGUAACGACUUCAGCACUGUCUCAACGAUGGACUCGGUGAAAUUGCAGGACCGGUAAAGAUGCCGGUUACGCGCAGCAGGACAAAAAGACCCCGUGGAGCUUUACUGCAACUUGGCAUUGGUUCGAGUUUUAAAAUGUGUAGGAUAGGCGGGAGACUUUGAACUCUAGGCGUUAGCCUAGGGGGAGUCGCCCUUGAAAUACCGCCCUUUUUAUGAUUUGGACCUAACACUUUUGGACAGUGUCUGGUGGGCAGUUUGACUGGGGCGGUCGCCUCCCAAAGAGUAACGGAGGCGUACAAAGGUCACCUCAGGCUGGAUGGAAAUCAGCUUUUGAGUGCAUUGGCAUAAGGUGGCUUGACUGCGAGACAUACAAGUCGAGCAGGGACGAAAGUCGGUCAAAGUGAUCCCACGGUUCCGAGUGGAAGGGCCGUGGCUUAACGGAUAAAAGCUACCCCGGGGAU